CCUUUUGUAUAAUGGGUCAGCGACUUAUAUUCUGUAGCAAGGUUAACCGAAUAGGGGAGCCGAAGGGAAACCGAGUCUUAACUGGGCGUUAAGUUGCAGGGUAUAGACCCGAAACCCGGUGAUCUAGCCAUGGGCAGGUUGAAGGUUGGGUAACACUAACUGGAGGACCGAACCGACUAAUGUUGAAAAAUUAGCGGAUGACUUGUGGCUGGGGGUGAAAGGCCAAUCAAACCGGGAGAUAGCUGGUUCUCCCCGAAAGCUAUUUAGGUAGCGCCUCGUGAAUUCAUCUCCGGGGGUAGAGCACUGUUUCGGCAAGGGGGUCAUCCCGACUUACCAACCCGAUGCAAACUGCGAAUACCGGAGAAUGUUAUCACGGGAGACACACGGCGGGUGCUAACGUCCGUCGUGAAGAGGGAAACAACCCAGACCGCCAGCUAAGGUCCCAAAGUCAUGGUUAAGUGGGAAACGAUGUGGGAAGGCCCAGACAGCCAGGAUGUUGGCUUAGAAGCAGCCAUCAUUUAAAGAAAGCGUAAUAGCUCACUGGUCGAGUCGGCCUGCGCGGAAGAUGUAACGGGGCUAAACCAUGCACCGAAGCUGCGGCAGCGACGCUGAUGCGUUGUUGGGUAGGGGAGCGUUCUGUAAGCCUGCGAAGGUGUGCUGUGAGGCAUGCUGGAGGUAUCAGAAGUGCGAAUGCUGACAUAAGUAACGAUAAAGCGGGUGAAAAGCCCGCUCGCCGGAAGACCAAGGGUUCCUGUCCAACGUUAAUCGGGGCAGGGUGAGUCGACCCCUAAGGCGAGGCCGAAAGGCGUAGUCGAUGGGAAACAGGUUAAUAUUCCUGUACUUGGUGUUACUGCGAAGGGGGGACGGAGAAGGCUAUGUUGGCCGGGCGACGGUUGUCCCGGUUUAAGCGUGUAGGCUGGUUUUCCAGGCAAAUCCGGAAAAUCAAGGCUGAGGCGUGAUGACGAGGCACUACGGUGCUGAAGCAACAAAUGCCCUGCUUCCAGGAAAAGCCUCUAAGCAUCAGGUAACAUCAAAUCGUACCCCAAACCGACACAGGUGGUCAGGUAGAGAAUACCAAGGCGCUUGAGAGAACUCGGGUGAAGGAACUAGGCAAAAUGGUGCCGUAACUUCGGGAGAAGGCACGCUGAUAUGUAGGUGAAGCGACUUGCUCGUGGAGCUGAAAUCAGUCGAAGAUACCAGCUGGCUGCAACUGUUUAUUAAAAACACAGCACUGUGCAAACACGAAAGUGGACGUAUACGGUGUGACGCCUGCCC
rnacentral:rRNA from 1 species